AUUGAACGCUGUCGGCAGGCUUAACACAUGCACGUCGAGCGAGCGGCGGACGGGUGAGUAAUGUCUGGGAAACUGCCUGAUGGAGGGGGAUAACUACUGGAAACGGUAGCUAAUACCGCAUACAAUAAGAUGUGCCCCGAUGGGAUUAGCUAGUAGGUUGGGUAAUGGCUCACCUAGGCGACGAUCCAUAGCUGGUCUGAGAGGAUGACAAGCCACACUGGAACUGAUACACGGUCCAGACUCCUACGUGAGGCAGAAGUGGGGAAUAUUGCACAAUGGGCGCAAGCCUGAUGCAGCCAUGCCGCGUGUGUGAAGAAGGCCUUCGGGUUGUAAAGCACUUUCAGCGAGGAGGCGUUACUCGCAGAAGAAGCACCGGCUAACUCCGUGCCAGCAGCCGCGGUAAUUC
rnacentral:rRNA from 1 species